rnacentral:misc_RNA from 1 species
UGGAAAUGUCAAUAACCCUUUGUCCCACAUCUGUAACUGAAGGAUCAAUUUCUGCCAAGUGUAACCAGACAGAGUAGUUUUUGUUGGGAUCGACAUCUAUUGUGUGCGUUAAAUCCGGAUCGUUGUCGGUACUAACAAGAGCAGUUUGGUAAAGAGCUUGUGGAUAGAAGUUUGGAGCUACAGAAGCUAACUUUAUGGUGCUUUUAGUAGAUAUAGGCUUAUCAGAAUUCUGACCAAAGGUCAUAAUUGAGCUCCAGAACCGAUCCCCACCCCAACGGUCCCCAUCAUAGUCAACGUCAAACUUUGGUUUCUGAUCUCCACAGCUUAAUCUUUUGCUAGUUCUAAAGAUUGUCCCUCGACCAUAUCCAGGACCAGAAUAGUAUGCUUUCUCAUCUACUUCUUGAAUCUCGAUUGCGAGUAUAGUAGGAUCUCCAUGACCAGUGCUGUGGAAGCAAAGUAAGGUAGUACCAUUCUCAAGAAAUACAAGAGUUUCAACAAAUGCUCGUUCAUCAUCGUGAUUACUCCAACCAGACGGCAAAGAAUAAACCAAGGUCCCUUCAACAGAAACAUCAAAUAGAGGUUCGUUAUCAAAACUUGGUUCUUUAACCAAUCCAAAGUAGAUCCUCACUGAAUAGUGGCCAUGUGGCACUUUAUCGAUAUUGUAACAAUUAUCAGGACCCUCUGAUAGAGGGAAAUACCGUAAUGUGCUGAGUGGGGGUGUUAUGUAACUUGGGCG